rnacentral:rRNA from 1 species
UACGUAGGUGGCAAGCGUUGUCCGGAUUUAUUGGGUUUAAAGGGUGCGUAGGCGGCUUUGUAAGUCAGUGGUGAAAUAUGGCAGCUCAACUGUCAGGGUGCCAUUGAUACUGCAGAGCUUGAGUACAGAUGAGGUAGGCGGAAUUGACGGUGUAGCGGUGAAAUGCUUAGAUAUCGUCAAGAACACCGACAGCGAAGGCAGCUUACUGGGCUGUAACUGACGCUGAGGCACGAAAGUGUGGGGAUCAAACAGG